AUGUCAGGUCUUACUAUAAAAUUAGUUUUUUUUCUUCAACAUUUUAAAAUAUUGUUGAAUAAAUUGUAUCAUACAUAUUGGCAUAAUUUAUAUAAUAUGCUGAUCAUGCUUUCAACGGAUGUUUCGAUACCAGAAAAUAUAUGGUUGAUCCAAUUAUUUUUAUAUAUGAAAAUAUUAUAUUUAUGA